UACGAACGCUGGCGGCGUGCCUAAUACAUGCAAGUCGAACGCUGAAGGAGGAGCUUGCUUCUCUGGAUGAGUUGCGAACGGGUGAGUAACGCGUAGGUAACCUGCCUGGUAGCGGGGGAUAACUAUUGGAAACGAUAGCUAAUACCGCAUAAUAGUAGAUGUUGCAUGACAUUUGCUUAAAAGGUGCAAUUGCAUCACUACCAGAUGGACCUGCGUUGUAUUAGCUAGUUGGUGGGGUAACGGCUCACCAAGGCGACGAUACAUAGCCGACCUGAGAGGGUGAUCGGCCACACUGGGACUGAGACACGGCCCAGACGCCUACGGGAGGCAGCAGUAGGGAAUCUUCGGCAAUGGACGGAAGUCUGACCGAGCAACGCCGCGGGAGUGAAGAAGGUUGUCGGAUCGUAAAGCUCGGUUGUAAGAGAAGAACGAGUGUGAGAGUGGAAAGUUCACACUGUGACGGUAUCUGACCAGAAAGGGACGGCUAACUACGUG
rnacentral:rRNA from 1 species